rnacentral:rRNA from 1 species
GACGAACGCUGGCGGCGUGCUUAACACAUGCAAGUCGAGCGGUAAGGCCCUUUCGGGGGUACACGAGCGGCGAACGGGUGAGUAACACGUGGGUGACCUGCCCUCAGCUCUGGGAUAAGCCUGGGAAACCGGGUCUAAUACCGGAUAUGACUCCAUGACGCAUGUUGUGGGGUGGAAAGCCUUGUGCGGCUGAGGAUGGGCCCGCGGCCUAUCAGCUUGUUGGUGGGGUGACGGCCUACCAAGGCGACGACGGGUAGCCGGCCUGAGAGGGCGACCGGCCACACUGGGACUGAGACACGGCCCAGACUCCUACGGGAGGCAGCAGUGGGGAAUCUUGCGCAAUGGGCGAAAGCCUGACGCAGCGACGCCGCGUGAGGGAUGACGGCCUCGG